GACGAACGCUGGCGGCGUGCCUAAUACAUGCAAGUAGGACGCAGUUGCGAACGGGUGAGUAACGCGUAGGUAACUGCCUAUUAGAGGGGGCUAACUAUUGGAAACGAUAGCUAAUACCGCAUACUAGUAGAUGGACCUGCGUUGUAUUAGCUAGUAGGUAGGGUAAUGGCCUACCUAGGCGACGAUACAUAGCCGACCUGAGAGGGUGGUCGGGCAACAUGGGACUGAGAAAAGGGCCAGACUCCUUCGGGAGGCAGCAGGAGGGAAUCUUUGGCAAUGGGGGGAACCCUGACCGAGCAAAGCCGCGGGAGUGAAGAAGGUUUUCGGAUCGUAAAGCUCUGUUGUUAAGGAAGCGGUACUUAAACAGAAAGGGACGGCUAACUACGUGCCAGCAGCCGCGGUAAUAC
rnacentral:rRNA from 1 species